CACCAUACCUGGCUGAGACAGAAAUUUUUUAAAACAAUCUAAACUAAAAUUUUCAUUCCUCUAAAAAUAGCAGCAACAUGAUAUCCUGAGAAAAACAGUUUAGAUGGGGACACAAAUUACUUUAUAAAAUCUUUCACAGCAAAGAAAACUUGAUUAUUAUUUCAGGUUUAUAAAUUAAAAUAAACAUCCACUUUUCAAACGUUUAUUAGUGAAAAAGUAUAUUCCCUAAGCAAUUUAAAGCUAAUUCAAUAUUUGCCCUGAAAAGCUUUAUUAUUUUCAAAUAGAAUGUAAUUUUUAAAAACAUCAAACCUGCUAUUCCUUUGGGAAUAAAGCAGCCCAUGAGAUGAUUAGAUUAGGGAAUUAAUAUGUUGAGGUGGGGAUACAAAGAUUUUGGUAUUCGUACAUACAGAGUUUUGAGACCUGAGAAAGACAAAUGUAACCUUAAAAAUAUCAAAUUACGAGGCAACAAAAUUUCUUUCAAACCUUAAAAUGCCCUGGGAAAAAGGCUCUCCUGCAAUGAUUCCCCCCCCCCCGCAACUAAUAGGCUCUAAAAAUAAAGACAAACUAUAAUAGAGGUAACCUUUUUUGAUACACUUUCCAAGUCGAUAAGAAUUCCAAUUAAUAAAGUUAAAACAACCAUGAAAUGUAAUUUGUGUUUUGGUAUCAAAUCCGUACAACCUUCAAUAUCAGGACAUCGUUAAGCAAAUGUUAAAAGGCUGGUGAUCCCUCCGUGCAGAGUAACAGGACUUUUACUUUGGAGGGAGGGAAACAGAGGCACACUCGGAGGGGCAGGCGCCGCACUCGGGGCCACAGCAGGUCGGGCGGUCUCCCCUCGCUGGUCACUGGCAGAGCUCCCCGGGGCUCGAGCGGUCAGACUGUGGCACCCCGCGGCCAGCAAUCGCCAACCUGCGCCCAGCCCGCGCGCACGCACACGCUCACGCGCGCACACCCCACACCGCCCAGCGCGCUCCACAGGCGAGAGGGAAAACAACCCCUCCAGCGCUCCCCGCGCGGGCCGGGGGGCGGCGGGGCCCAUUAACAUCUCAACUUCGACGCUAACGAGCAGCCAGGGGAGGUUAAGCGCAGCCACAGGAAACAUCCUACGCCAGAGGAGCAGGAAAUCUAGAUUUGAGGAUUUUAGUUCGCUACGUUAAAAAAAAAACAAAACAACAAACUCAUGACAUCAAAAUAGAACUAACAUCGAAUCCGUUUAAACAGGAAAAAAAAAUAUUAAAAAUAUGAAAGCCGAAGUGGGGCUGUGCCCAGGGGUCAAGAGGGCCCUCCCCGACGCUCCGGCGCCGAGGCGAGAGCGAGCGUGGAUUUCCGUAAAAUCUCCCUCCGGCUCCCAGGGCGGCGGCGGAGCGGCCCCGAAGUCUCCUAGUUAUCCUCAGAUCAGAGUGAGAGGCGCUGGCACUGGACUAGGAAGCUCGCCUGCCGCUGCUACUGCUCCCCCUCGGGCUUCGGCGAGAGCCUUUGCUUGUCAAGCAAGAGGGGUGAGGAUCAUAUUUUUUUUAUUUUGGAAAGUAAAAAGUGCUCCCAGGGUCGGUGAUUAUUAAGGGGAAAUCCCUGAAUGUACUCUCCAGCCAAGGCAGGGCUGCCGGGCUGCACAAGAAGAAGCAGCAGCCUCCUACAGCACCACUACAGGCACUGCGAGGACAUAACACCAGAGAGCGGCUCCUCUGCCCUCCGAAACGACAACUUUCCUACCAUCUUGGAGCAGCAGAGGGGGGCCAGGGGCAAAAGUGCACUCGCUCCCGAGAAAGUACAAAUUUCUCCUCUCCGGAAAAAAGUCCGCACGGCCGUCUACACCAGCGCCUGGGGGACCAGCGGGAGAGAAUCUGGGGGUGCCUGAGCCGCGUUUUCACUUGCUCCAGGGGGAGAAAUGUUUCUGCGUCUUCUACUGGGAAGAAAUCUUUGCAGGACACAGGUUUUCCGGUGAUUAUUAUUUUCUAUUUUAAUUUUUUCCUUGUUAGUGACCGUGGUGUUUUAAUUUUUUUUUUUUUUUUUUUUCAGGCUAAUCAUGACUUUUCUGCAUGCCAGCUCUAAGUUCUGGGUCUGGUUGGUCAGUUUGUAAAUUUGUAUUUCAAGAGACUUCACAGUCACUUUGUCUGUUUACCUACAUAAUUGUGUAUGGGUAUUUAUUUUCAUAUAUUAGGUAUAAAAAUCCGUGUUACAUAUGGUCCUCCAAAUCGAGACUGCUGCAAGACAAUUAUAAAGAGGUGUCUUUUGUCUCCAUCUCUCCAAGGAAUGUAAAUAAGUCCUAUUUACUGUCCAGAAAAGGCAUAAUACAGCUGUUUAUUUUCCACAGUGCAAAUAAAAGCAGAGAUCAACCCCCAGUGUAUAAAUGACCAAUUAGCUGAAAAUAAUCCUAAUUCAGUUAUGUACUGCCCCUGAAGGAAGGUUACUGUGAACCUGGAAAUACAUUUAAAGACUGCCUUAGGUUUUUUUUUUUUAAGUAAAAUUGUUUUUAAAAAUUAUAUCUAGACAUUUCAGUGUUUUUUUAUCUAGGUUCUUUUAAAGUUUAGGUAUUUGGUGCUUACACGUGUUGCUGCCUGCGUCCAGGGUCACCGAAUUGAGAAAUGUGUUUAUUUUUGUUAGAGUGGAAAUCCUGGUUCACAACUCGAGCUGUGCUGCCAGCCUGUAGUGAUUCUCAUAUGGCAGUGGAUGUCAUGAAUUUACUUUUUUUAAAUGAGCAAAGCUCGAUAGAUAAAUGUCAUCAAAGUUAACACUGCCCCCUUGCAUCAGUUAUUUUUCUGACACAGGAUGGCUCACCUAGUGGGAAUGAAUUUGUAAUAUUAGUGCCUUGUAUCCAUAGACCAUUUCUUUCAUUUGAAAUCCGUUACAAGACAUUUGGAAACCGCUAGUGGCUCCACUUAAUAAGGUUUGUUUUUCGAGCUUUGCCAUAACUCUCAGGUGAGUUCAGGUAAUGCACACAUCAAAUAUUUACUUCUUUUCUACUUUCUUUAUCUAAAAUUGGAUACUGGAAUAUUCUGAAUUUUUGUGGGUUUUGCCUCCCUUUUUAAUGGAAAAAACUACCAUAAUUAAAGUAAAAUUGCCUUAUUGCUAUCAUCUUGGGAACCUCUUAGCAAGAUGUCAUAUGUUUACAAUUUUUUUAAACAUCACAAAUUAAACAAAUUGGUCAUAACCAGGUCAUUACUUCCUUAGACUUCUAGUGGACUUGAAAAGCAUGUUUGCUGCCAACUUGUUUUGCCUUAUGUGACAUAACUUUAUACACAUGCUUUCAGUGUUUCAGGAAAUGAAGAUGUGUUUGUUUGCCGUAAGCUGUUUAUUACACCCUUGUAUGCAGUCCCUCGUCACCACAGAAGCAUGCUUGUAUGGGAUCUAUCCAGGUCCUGCCUCCGUGUCACCAACCAAGCAAAGGACUGAGCCUUCCAACCUGGGAACCAAGGUAAACCUCUCCUCCUUUAUACUGUGGGUGAAUGACACUGUGCCUCAGCCAUGAGGAAAGUCACUGGCACUGAAGUCGUUUCCAAAAGACUCCAUUGAUGAGAAAUAAAAUGUUUGAUAUAAAA